AGAGUUUGAUCCUGGCUCAGAUUGAACGCUGGCGGCAUGCCUAACACAUGCAAGUCGAACGGCAGCACAGCAGAGCUUGCUCUGUGGGUGGCGAGUGGCGGACGGGUGAGUAAUGCAUCGGGACCUACCCAGACGUGGGGGAUAACGUAGGGAAACUUACGCUAAUACCGCAUACGUCCUACGGGAGAAAGCGGGGGACCUUCGGGCCUCGCGCGGUUGGACGGACCGAUGUGCGAUUAGCUAGUUGGUAGGGUAAUGGCCUACCAAGGCGACGAUCGCUAGCUGGUCUGAGAGGAUGAUCAGCCACACUGGGACUGAGACACGGCCCAGACUCCUACGGGAGGCAGCAGUGGGGAAUAUUGGACAAUGGGCGCAAGCCUGAUCCAGCAAUGCCGCGUGUGUGAAGAAGGCCUUCGGGUUGUAAAGCACUUUUAUCAGGAACGAAAUACCACGGGUUAAUAACCUAUGGGGCUGACGGUACCUGAGGAAUAAGCACCGGCUAACUUCGUGCCAGCAGCCGCGGUAAUACGAAGGGUGCAAGCGUUAAUCGGAAUUACUGGGCGUAAAGGGUGCGUAGGCGGUUGUUUAAGUCUGUCGUGAAAUCCCCGGGCUCAACCUGGGAAUGGCGAUGGAUACUGGACAGCUAGAGUGUGUCAGA
rnacentral:rRNA from 1 species